AUACGGGGGAUGCAAGCGUUAUCCGGAAUCAUUGGGCGUAAAGCGCCUGUAGGUUGUUUAAUAAGUCUGUUGUUAAAGACUAGGGCUUAACCCUAGAAAAGCAAUGGAAACUACUAGACUAGAGUAUGGCAGGGGUAGAGGGAAUUUCUAGUGUAGCGGUGAAAUGCGUAGAUAUUAGAAAGAACACCGGUGGCGAAAGCGCUCUACUGGACCAUUACUGACACUCAGAGGCGAAAGCUAGGGUAGCAAAAGGGAUUAGAUACCCCUGUAGUCCUAGCCGUAAACGAUGGAUACUACAUGUUGUGCAUUAUGUACAGUAUGGUAGCUAACGCGUUAAGUAUCCCGCCUGGGGAGUACGCUCGCAAGGGUGAAACUCAAAGGAAUUGACGGGGGCCCGCACAAGCGGUGGAGCAUGUGGUUUAAUUCGAUGCAACGCGAAGAACCUUACCAGGACUUGACAUACUACAAAUUCUUUUGAGAAAAAGAAGUGCCUUCGGGAAUGUAGAUACAGGUGGUGCAUGGC
rnacentral:rRNA from 1 species